GAUGAACGCUAGCGGCAGGCUUAAUACAUGCAAGUCGAGGGGCAGCAGGUCUGUAGCAAUACAGAUGCUGGCGACCGGCAAACGGGUGCGUAACACGUACGCAACCUUCCCGUUACUGGGGAAUAGCCCAGGGAAACUUGGAUUAAUACCCCAUAUUAUAUUGGUUGGGCAUCCGACUGAUAUCAAAGUUUUAACGGUAACGGAUGGGCGUGCGGUUGAUUAGGUAGUUGGCGGGGUAACGGCCCACCAAGCCUACGAUCAAUAGCUGAUGUGAGAGCAUGAUCAGCCAAACGGGCACUGAGACACGGGCCCGACUCCUACGGGAGGCAGCAGUAAGGAAUAUUGGGCAAUGGACGCAAGUCUGACCCAGCCAUGCCGCGUGAAGGAUGAAGGUCCUCUGGAUUGUAAACUUCUUUUAUCUGGGGCGAAAAUCGGGUAUUCUUAUCCGCUUGACAGUACCAGAGGAAUAAGCACCGGCUAACUCCGUGCCAGCCGCCGCCGUAAUAC
rnacentral:rRNA from 1 species